CGACCCGGCGCCGGUGGCGCAGACGUUCUUUGUCGACGAGGAUGUGCGCGAGAAGACCGCGCUCGAUGCGGUGGUAACGGUGGCCGAUGCCAAGUGGCUCAGCGAUCGCCUCAAGGAUGCGCCGGAAGCCAAGAACCAGAUCGCCUUCGCCGACGUCAUCGUGCUGAACAAGACGGAUCUUGUGACCAAGCCGGAACUGGCCGAAGUCGAGGCCCGCAUCCGUGCGAUCAAUCCCUAUGCGACGCUGCACCGGACCGAACGUGCACAGGUGAAACUGUCGGAUGUGCUGGAACGCGGCGCGUUCGAUCUGGACCGGAUUCUCGAGAUCGAAC
rnacentral:misc_RNA from 1 species